UACGUAGGGUGCGAGCGUUGUCCGGAAUUAUUGGGCGUAAAGGGCUCGUAGGCGGUUUGUCGCGUCGGGCGUGAAAACUCAGGGCUUAACCCUGAGCCUGCUUCCGAUACGGGCAGACUAGAGGUAUGCAGGGGAGAACGGAAUUCCUGGUGUAGCGGUGAAAUGCGCAGAUAUCAGGAGGAACACCGGUGGCGAAGGCGGUUCUCUGGGCAUUACCUGACGCUGAGGAGCGAAAGUGUGGGGAGCGAACGGG
rnacentral:rRNA from 1 species